AAUAUUGCAACCCAUGGAAUGUGCAACAAUAUGGAAAGACUUCAACUGAAAUGGAUUAAUGACGGACUUUUCAAUCAUCUCCAAGUGAUCUCUUAGAGUGUAAUAACAAUCCCUUGGCUUAGGGCUUCUUCCAAAUCCCAAAAGGUCAACAGCAAAUAGUCUGUAGUUACGCUUUACAGGCUCAGACAGAUUUGGAAACACUGUUUCCGUCCAAAAUGAAGAAGAGGAGAUGAAUCCAUGCAAGAAUAUCACAUUCUCUGUCACAUCUCCAUGGCAAUUCUCAGAAGCAGCUGCAGAACAAGAAAUUAUAACAACAUUAGCGACUGUUCUAUAUUUGAAGGCAACAACAGCUGUUUGCUACCUGAAAACCAGAAGAACAAGAGGAAGAGAGGGGAAAAAAUUGCAAAUGAAUCAUUGAUCACCCAUCAAAAGUUCAGAAUUUUUUUCCAGAAAUUUCAUAAUUCUUGAUUUCAAUAGUCUGAUUUAGUUAAGAUGAAGGAAGAGAGAUUGCUGGUGCCUAGAUUAACAUAAUUCAGCAUUAGACAGUUGAAUUAUGAAGCCGCCCCAAAAACAAACCAAGAAUAAGCAAAAUAUGUCCUAGCUCUCACCUUUCAUUUCUCAGAAAACAAACAGAAACUAAAACGAUAACUGGAAGCUUUCCAACCGCUGAAUGAAAUCCUUCAUAGUUAUAAACAUAAUGCUCACUUUUUGUUAAGUUUUAAAUCUCAAUUUAUUUUGUGCAUAAAGCUUUAAUUCAACAUUUGAUUUGAGUGAUAUAAACAAACAAAGCCUAUAAAUGAAGUAGCAAAUCAUAGAAAAUGAAAAAAGAAGAGCGAGAACAGUAAAAGAAAAAUAUUAAUGGUUUAGAGGACCACCAGUCGAAGGCUCCUUGACAACUACAUGCAGAUUCUGUCCACCAUCUUUCAUCCAAGAAACACAAGACUCACAUCCACAAUCAGACCAAAUCCUUAUUCCACUGCCACCACCAAAUGAUUUCUUGCGAUUCUCCGAAUUUCUUCCAAAACCCAGAAAUCUAAUUUGCCUAAACACGUUGGUCCUUCCAUAUAAAGUCUCAGAAAGCUCACUGUCUUCAUCAUCCCCCAUACUCCUCUGUAUCUCUCUCCUGUCUCCACAAUAACAAGGGGAGGGCUUCCCCUCAAACAACUUAUCAAGAUACCUAUAAAUAAUGCAAAAGACUAUGUCAAGAAAGUCAAAAAUGAGGAAAACAAUGAAGCUAGUUGCAGAGAUGGCUGUGGAAACGGAUUUUCUCGCCCAUUUUCCUACAAAAGGAGCAAGAAACAUGGAGAAGAAGUAAUAGAAAGCGAGAGAAAAACUGAGGAAGGUGAUAGGGUUUAGGGAAGCAAAGUUAAAGCGGUAAAGAAAGAAACAAGGGGUUGAGACUUGAAGCAAAGAAAGGUAAGUAUGGAGCCACGUCUCAUGCUUUUGUGAUCGGAAAGUUUGGAAUUUUAUGGAAGAUUGAUGGGUGAUUUUCUGUCUGCAUGCAAGCUUCUUUGUUGGGCAGGGUAGUGACUAGUGGACUUGUAUUUAUGCGAAAUGGAUGGGUCGCCUAGCCAUAGUAUCGGUCUAACAGUUUUUCCAUUUACCUACGAUAUAUCGGCGUUAAUAUAACUGCAUUGACCGCCUUCAAACUAUCUCUGGUGAUUGGAUUGAACGUGAGGUUGAUCUUGGUUCCUAUAUUAGAGGUUUUUAUUGUCAUCUUUAUUCUGCAGGCUCUUUACAAGGCUGUGAUCAUGUCUUGAAUCUUAUUUCUUCCCUGGUCUCUCCAGCACUUAAUGCUUCAUCAUUAGCUCCUAAUCACGGGUAAGGAAGUGUGUAGUGCUAUAUCUCAGUUGGGAGGUAAUAAGACAUCUGGUUUGGAUAGUUUCUCUCGUCUUUUCUAUCAGUAUCAUUGGCAUAUCAUUGACCCAUCCCUUUGUCGUGCUGUGCAUCGUUUUUGUGACACGGAGUUUUUACUUUUCAAGUUUAAUAGAAUUAAUAUUGUUCUUCUUUCAAAAUGUCGUCAUUCCAUAGGUGUUCAUCAAUUCUUUCAAAAUGUCGUCAUUCUUUGGUGUUCAUCAAUUUAGAUCUAUUAGAUUGUGCAAUUUUGUUUAUAAGAUUAUUUUAAGGACUAUUGUUAAUAGGUUGAAACCAUGGAUACGUUCUCUUAUCCCGGAGAAUCAGAAUGCUUUUGUUAAAGUCAUUCAGAAUAAUUUUGCGAUGCCCAUGAAGUCUUCCAUUUCCUCAAGUCAUUUCGGCGUCACAUGCAUUCUAUGGUUUUAAGCUUGAUGUACAAUGAGUUGUUCUACAUAGUGGGUGCACAUGAUUAUGCAGCGUAUAUCAAUCAUUAGUUUUUUGGUUAUGAGUAAUGGUGUUCCAUCUGCUUCUUUUCAACUCUCUCAUGGCAUCUGGUGUGGAGAUCUUUUAUCUCUUUUUCUUCGUUUCUCAAGCUCUAUCCUAAUUGUUGUCUUCAGCCCGUGAUCGAUCAAACCAUCUCGGACUGCUCCUGCACUUACUAGUAUUUUAUUUGCUGAUAAUACUUUGUUAUUUGUCCAAACUUCACGGGCAGAAGCUAUGAACCUGCUUGGCUUGCCAUAAUCAUACAUUGUGGCUCAGUUAGUUAAUUAUUAACAGUUGUGAAUUUUAUUUAUCAAGCAAACACCGUUGAAGUUAAGGUGAGAUAUAUGUCCAUAUUUUCUAUGCAAGAGGUGUCUUUUUCUGAUAAAUAUUAGGUUUGUCAAUGUUGUUGGGCCACUCGCGCCAACAAGUUUUGGGCUAUGUAGAAGGUCGUGUAAGGGUCAAGAUACAGUCGUAGAAGCAAUGAUUACUAUCACAUGUUGGUCGAACAAUUAUGAUUCAAUCGGUCUUGGCUAUCAUUCUCAAUUAUUCUAUGUUCUUUUGUUUUUUAUAUCAAAAUUAAUUUUCUGCUGAGCUUAACAGGAUGCUAUCUCAAUUUUGAUGGGUGGUAAAUUAUUUAAUAUUUUUUAAAUUAGUAUUUAUAUAUUACUUAGACCUCUCAGACAGUCUUAUAAUGUAAUUAUCUUUAUAAUUUAAAAAAAAUUAAGAAAAUGAUUUUUAUUUUUAAUAUUUUAGAUUUUAAUAAAUAAAUUUUAUUAUAAACGUUUUUAUAAUAUUUAUGAAUAAUUAUUAUUUAUUAAAUAGAUUGAAUUUCAUUUGCUUUAAUACAAACCACAUUUCUACAUUGAUUUAUUUUUUUUAUAACGAAGGUAUAGAUUUCAUUAACUCAUCAAGGUGAUAGAAAAUGAAAGAAUCAAAUUUAUGUAUAAGAAUGGAUUACAUUUGAAGGAAAUACUCUUAAGAAACUUUUGAAUUAAAUUAUGAGCAGUAGUAUUAGACUGUCUUCAAACAACAUUGUAAGAUACAAAAUUGAGGCUUUGAGCUAAGAAAAGAGAAUCCUGUACAAUGUUGUAUGUGUUUAUGAGAGUUGAAGAGUCCCCUUCAAUGAUCACAUCUGAGAAGCUUCCAUUUAUUGCAAGAAUUAAGAAUUUCCGACAAGCUAAACCUUCUAAAAUUAAAGAAUCCUGUGUUUUAGGCCAUAACAUGCAACUCCAAUUGAGAACCUGCCUAUGUUAACAUUAAUUUAAGGAUAUCAUAGUGAGGACUUUUUAAUAAAUAUAUAAGAAUAAGUUUUCUAUUUAAAUUUCACGAUUAAUUAAUUAGUGUUAUUUCAAAAUGGGCUAUUGAAAAAGAAAAUUAAAUGUUUUACUCAAUAAAAUUAAUCCUUUCACAAUUAUCUCAAUUCUAGUCAUAUGCUUCGAUUAAUUUUGGUAAAAAAAUGUGUAAUUCACGUAUCAUUGUCACCUAUGUUAGGCUAGCAAUUUUUUACUAUUCAACUUAAAUAUGAAAAUUUUUAUUUUUAUUCUCACUCUACUUUAAAUAUAUUUAUUUAUUUAUAUUAUAUAUUAUGUUGUUAUUUUAUUAAUAUUUAAUUUUUCAUGUCGUUUUAUUUUAUAGUAGUAUCUUUUAAUUUUAUACUAGUAUGCCCUUUUUUUCAUUUUCUUAACUUUUAAAUCUUUGAAUUUAUAUAAUUUUGAUGGAAUACUUUGGUGCCUAUAUCUAUUAAAUAAUAAAAUUUUACAUUAUAAAAAUAUAUAAUUAUUAAAAUUAUCAAUUCCUAAUACUUGCUUUAGAAAAUGUGAUACUUAUAUUUAUUAUAGUUAUCUUAUUAUAAUUUUUUAAUCAGUUUGAUAUUUUUUAUUUAUUUAUUUUAUAUUUAUAUGGUCUAAAGAAAAUUUACUGGUUCUGCCCUUCCCUGUUCCUCUUGUUAAAAUCAGGAAAAAAAGACUGGACUAAGAUUAUUCCUGCCAAUUUUUAUUUUACUUAAAACAUACAAAUGAGUAUACAUAGGCUCAUGAAGUUUUUUUUUUUUUUUUUUAAGUUAUCAUCUCUGCGUAAUACAAGGUAUAUCUUGUCAGUUUGCUGAGAAUAUAACAGAGAAAAAGAAGGAAAGAAAGAAACCUUGAGAGAAUCAAGCUAAGCUAGUUUUGCUGCUUCACCCAAGAAAAAGAAUUAUUCAGUAUCAGUAGAUGAGGCCCAUAUAUGCUCUAAAUUCCUAGUAAAAUCCUUCUCUCUACCUAUUAUUACACCAAUAUGAUCAGCAUUUGGGAUGAUACUAAUUUCUGCAUUAGGAACCUUACUCUUUAUGUUUUUGCCACACUCCAAAGGGAUGACCUUGUCCUCAUCACCUUGGAUAACACAAAUUUUCGCUCCAGAUUUCAUCAAAUUCUCCAACAUUUCCUCCAGAAAUUUUGCCCCUCCACAUAUCACAUUAUGCAUUGAAUGCCAUGCUGAAUGAUGGGUGUGCUUGGUCAUGUCCAUGAUCAUGAAAUGCAGAUCCCUGGAGAAAAGAUCAAUAACAUGGUUUUCCUUGUUAAAUAAUGAAGUUCUAAUUCAAUGGUAUUGAUAAUAUCUAGUGUCCAAAUCGUGAUAAGCUAAAAUUUAUUAUCCACAUGAAGGCAUGGAUUAAAGCUGGUGUUACCUUCUCCAGGUGAGUAGCUUCAAAAUCCUCUCCCAUAUCCUGUGGUUUCGGCACACAAGUAAGCAGACGCAUCGGCCUAAGUGUUCAUACCAUGACAUAAAUGAUGAACAAAACAGCAAUGGCGGCCAUAAUCUCUUCCCAGCAAGUUGUUGAAGUGCCGUAAGACUUGCUUCUUCCUUUGAACUUGAGAUGUAAGGCUACAGUUAGAGAGCAAGAAUAAGGUCAGGACAAGCAUAUGCAUAGAAGUUAACUCUAAGCAAAUACCACCUGAGCAUAAGCAAAAGAUCAGGACAUGGCUGUUAAGAGCUGUUGGCUAUAAGAUUGAUGGUGAAAUCUGCAGAAAAGGGUUAAAAUAUUUCAAUCAACCAUAGCAUCUAAGUCUUGUACACUCACCGGUGCUACGAGGGUGAUUGAUUUCACACAGUUUGAGUAUUUUGCAGCAAGAGCUAAUGAAAUAGUGCAGCCCAUGGAGUGUGCAACAAUAUGGAAAGACUUCAAUACAAAUGGAUUAAUAACGGAUUUUUCAAUCAUUUCCAAGUGAUCUCUUAGAGUGUAAUAACAAUCUUUUGGCUUAGGGCUUCUUCCAAAUCCCAAAAGGUCAACAGCAAAUAGUCUGUAGUUACGCUUUACAGGCUCAGACAGAUUUGGAAACACUGUUUCUGUCCAAAAUGAAGAAGAGGAGAGGAAUCCAUGCAAGAAUAUCACAUUCUCUGUCAAAUCUCCAGCAGCUGUAAAACAAUAAAUUAUAACAACAUUAGCGACUUCUUUAUAUUUGAAGGCAACAACAGCUGUUUGCUACCUGAGAACCAGAAGAACAAGUGGAGGAGAGGGGGGGAAAUUGCCAAUGAAUCAUUGAUCACCCAUCAAAAGUUCAUAAAUUUUUUCCAAAAGUUUCAUAAUUCUUUAUCAAUAUUCUGAUUUAGUUAAGAUGAAGGAAGAGAAAUUGCUGGUGCCUGGAUUAAGCAUAAUUCAGUAUUAGCAAGUUGAAUUUUGAAGCUGCCCAAAAACAAACCAAGAAUAAGCAGAAUAUGUCCUAGCUCUUAUAUUUCAUUUCUAAGCAAACAAACAGAAACUAAAACGAUCGAUAACUGGAAGCUUUCCAACCACAGAAUGAAAUCCUCCAUAGUUAUAAAC
rnacentral:lncRNA from 1 species